rnacentral:rRNA from 1 species
UACGUAGGGUGCAAGCGUUGUCCGGAAUUAUUGGGCGUAAAGAGCUCGUAGGCGGUUUGUCGCGUCUGCUGUGAAAACUCGGGGCUUAACUCCGGGCCUGCAGUGGGUACGGGCAGACUAGAGUUCGGCAGGGGAGACUGGAAUUCCUGGUGUAGCGGUGAAAUGCGCAGAUAUCAGGAGGAACACCGGUGGCGAAGGCGGGUCUCUGGGCCGAUACUGACGCUGAGGAGCGAAAGCGUGGGGAGCGAACAGG